rnacentral:lncRNA from 1 species
AUGAAGUUUUAAUUCACUAAGUGAUUGGAUUAAAUAUAAUCAAUUGGAUUGAUGUCAAUCACCCCACUGCCUUGCUAAUUAGAACCUAAAAUGAUUGUACACCGAUACACUCUUGUAGUGAGUAAUUAAAGGAUGAUGGAAAUAAUUAAUUGGAUUAAUUAAGUGUUGUGAUUAAUUUAGAAAGUCUAAAGAAAUCAUAAAAGCGAUAAAGGAUCGUUUUGGGCUUAAAGAAACGUUCGGGUUUAAUUGGGCCCAUUGGGCCUAAACCCAUUGGGCUUUUAUUCAAGCAUAGGAUGACUUGAAAUAAUAAAAGCCCAAAGCCCAAACCAAACACUAUAGGGCCGGCCACUUAAAGGUUUUGGGAGAGACAUUUAGUCAAGUUGUUGACUAGGUUUCUUUGUCUAUAUAAGGAACUUUAUAGCACUAAGUUCAUUAGGGUUUUUGUGUGUUUAAAACAACAAAGAGGCAAAAGAAAUAUCUCUCUAAAACACUACAAAGGCCGGCCACCUUGGGGGUGUUUUUACUAACACAUCUUUCACCCUUUUGGUUAUUCCUCCAUCCAUCUCAGUACACUAGUGGGUGUGGAUCUUUAGAGGUCUUCUCCUUUGGAGACUUAAGGAGAACCUUGGAGCACUCUUACUAACAAAGUGGAGGAGGCAAGGAGGGAGGCUAGGCUCAAAUCAAGGAGCAAAGGGCUUGGAGGUGGUCCAUCAUUGGUCUAAAAUCAAGAUCAAGAGGUAUAGAUCUAUUCCUUGACUUUGUUCUUAAGUUAAAUGUUUUGAUGCAUUAUAUAUAACCUAUGAACCUUGAAGGGGAUUUGCAUGACUAUUGCUUUGAUAUUAUUUGAUAAAUUGCUUCCGUUGCUCAUGUAUAUAAAUUUUGAAUUGUAUAUGCAUGCUAGUCAUUUAGAAAUCCCAUGUGUUAAGCUCAUAAUUUUCCCUUCAAGUGGUAUCAGAGCCAAAGGUUUAUGUAUAAUGUGUCCUUAUGGAUUUUAUGCAUAUGGGUAUUAAUAUUAUGUAUGACAUAAUUAUUGGUUCAUUCAAAAUAAGUUUAUCUUUUGUUUUUCAAUAGUUGAAAAAUGUUAGUCAAUAGUUGAGAAAGGUAUGUAUGCAAAAAGAUGUUUUGUAUGCAUGAAUGAAAAUUGAGUUUUGAACUAGUUUCAUAUAUUAUUUCUUCAUUUAAAGUAUGUUUAUCUUUUGUUUUUCAAUGGUUGAAAAUAUAAAUCAAGAGUUGAAAAGAUAUGCAUGUAAAAGUUGUUUUGUAUGCAUGAAUGAAGAAUAAGUCAUGAACAAAAUUUUGGGGUUUUGUUCUUUAUGGUUGGCACGGUUUUGGGGUGGUUUUUGGGUUGUGUUUGUGUUUUAUUGUAAACCACUCACACAUCCUUUUAAAGCUAGAAAGUAGAAACCUUGUCACUUUUGUUUUUUGGGUUUGAAAAAUCACCAAGAAUACACAAAUCUUGAAAAUAUGUUCAUGGUUUUGUUCUUGGUGUUCAUGGUUGGUUUUUGGUGAAAAUGGUUUUAUUUGGUUUUCAUGCAUAGUUUUAUGGUUUUGGAUGAUGUUCUUACCAUCCAUAACCAUAUUAAAACUUAUAAAACCCUAGACUUGUCUAGGAGAUUUCCAUCACCUUUUUCAUUAAAAUCAUUUAAACCAAAACCAAGUGACAAGUAAAUUUGGAUUUUUCUACCUUGCAUUGAAUUAAAGCAAGAUGGGUGAGACUUCCCAUCUCCCCUUAAUGUGGCCGGCCACCCUAGUGGAUUUAUCCACUUGGGGGGUCUUUUGUAAUUUGGAAAAAGAUAUUUUAUACUUUUGAGUAUUUACGGUUUGAUCCCUAACUUUUUCUUAUUUGCAUUUAGGCCCCUACUAACUAGAAAGUUAAAAUAAUUGAUUUUAAUUUUGUUAGUUGUUUAAACUCAUAAUUCUAUUAUGCCCAUAUGCACUAAAUCUAAAUGUUCAUGUUGCAUUCCAUUUUGAUUAUUUAAUGUGAUUAAGUAGUUAGAAAAGGGUGACUAUGGACUUAUGCCUUAAACGAUAAUUGAGCUAUGAGAUAAGGCGCUAAAAUCAAAUUGUUUGAACCCUGGGAAUGUGUUUUAAUUACUGUUUUUAAUGGACCUUGUCACAUUUGACAUUAAUCUAUCUCUCCCUCUUAGUAUGUGUAAUUUGUAGGAAUUUGUACAAAUCAGUUUGUAAUUCUUAUUAUUUCUUAAUCUCUUUUAGUUAGUUAAUUCCCUCUAGUGCUAGACUAGAGUUUCUUUAAGUAUUGGUAAGGAGACAUAACUAAAAGAGGGUUUUGACAUGAGAUUAAAGAUUAAAUGGGUCCAAUGCCCUAAUUAGCAAUGAAUGAUUGUCUUUCAUUUCUAAUGGCUCAAUGAAAAUGUUUUAAUUGGAUUGAAAAGCACAUAAUUAAAUUGACACAACCUCCCCGAGUUUAUAUUCAACAAUGUUGGCUCGUUGUUGCAAUAACCUAAUAAGUCCAUGGUCAUCCAAGAGCCUAAGAUAACUAUAAAGUCCAAUUUAAAAGGAAUGCAAAAACCUUAGUAGUAGUAGUUACUUCCAAUAUUUGAAAAAUUCGUUUUUGAUAUUGAUUUGUUUUUCUUAAAACAAAUAGUGGGAGUAUCAUACGCUACUAAACUAUAAUGAAAACA